rnacentral:lncRNA from 1 species
GGGAGUAACGGGCUGGAUUUGUACAGCCCUCUUGGGUGCAGAGGGAGCUGGCGCCGGCGGGGAGGAGCUUGUCAGCGGCUUGCACCACACCUGCGCCCCGACCCAACCUGUUCCCCAUCGGUUUGGGAGCCUCCCCUCAGAAGCUGGAGUGGAGAGGGGUCAGCUGGGGGAAGGUCCCUCCGGGAAUCCCAGCGAGGCCGGUCCUGGCCCCAGAGGCACUCUGGCAGGACCUCGCACCCCGUGGCAGCCCGAGCUCCGGGCGGCUCCCUGCCACCUGAGCAGUGUCCCGGGGGCCGGCUGGACUCCGUAGGGAGACCCCACGUCACCCCCUCACAGCUCCCGCACGCCUGCCCCCUCGUCGCGCCCCCCAGCUUGGGAGCCCCCGGCCCACCCCACCCCACCCCACCCCACCCCGCGCUCCGGCCCGGCAGGCCGCGCUGCCCCGAGGCCCUCGGCGCUUCCUACCUGGUGCGGUCGCAGCCCGGUGGCAUCGACGCCGGCCGGCCCGGCGCUGGCCCCGGAGUGGGUGCGCGGCGGCACGGGCUACCCGGGCGGGUUAUAUGGGCGCCGGGAGGGGAGGCGCCGCGGGCAGGGCCGGCCGCGGGCGUUAGCGCCUCGGGCCCCCGCCGGGCGGGAAGGCAGCGCGGGCGCUCAGCGCGGCGGGAGGAGCGCGGGCGGCGGCGCGGGGCCGGGGCAGAGGUGGCCGCCGGCGCCCCGCCCCCCCAGCUGGCCGCGCUCGAGUCGGGGUCCUGGGCGCGCUCGGCCCCGCCUCCUUCCCGCCGCCUUUUGGCGCGCGUCGCCCCCGCGGAGCCUGCUGGGCCGCCGGCCGGGCUGGACGCGGGCUGGGCGCCGGGGCUGUCCCCGCGGGGAUGGGGCUGCGGCCCUCCGCCAGCCUGGGGGCGCGGGCGGCGCGGGCGGGGGCGCGGGCGGGGGGCCGGGCGCAGCGCUCUCCGCGUCCCGAAGCCUCGCGUUCCCGCAGACGCCGCAUUUCCCCCGCACCCGGGCCGUCCUCCCGCCCGCACUGGCGCUCAGACUCCGGGGAGCGGGGGAAGCGCCAUCCUGGUCCGCGGGGUGUGCGCCCCGCCGCCGGGCACCGGGGUGAGGGUCGCGGCCCCAGGGCCAGGGGUUGGGCGCGGCCGUCUGCGCCGCGGCCGCUCGGGGGAACUCGGGGAGGGCGGGGCCGCCUCCAGGCCCCGCCCGGCAGUGCGGAUCGGCGGGGACGCUCUGGGAGAGGCUCCCGGGUCCCCGCCCGCGCUCUUCCAGGGCGGAGGUUGCGUCCCUCGGCCCCCGGGAGUAACUGGUGACCCGCACCCCGCUCCCUGCCCUGGCCGCCGCCUGCAGGCCCCGGCGCCGCUUUCUUUCCUGCGUUCGCGCAGGUACGUGGGGGUGUCCGCGGCCACACGUGGGUCGUGCCCUGGGAGCGCGUCUAGGCGGGUGUUCCCGGACCCGCGCGGGGCGGGGCCUCGGCCUGAGAACCCGACGCGCCCGACGCGUAACGAGAGGCCCUCGGCGGCCCCCGCGGCGCGCUGCCUUCCGGUGCUCGCGGGACCCGUUAUCCGCCUCCGGACCGCCGUCCCCGGGCCCGCGUGA